CAUAAGAUCACACUAAGGUCCCAUAAGAUCACACUAAGGUCCCAUAAGAUCACACUAAGGUCCCAUAAGAUCACACUAAGGUCCCAUAACAUUUGAUCACACUAAGGUCCCAUAACAUUUGAUCACACUAAGGUCCCAUAAGAUCACACUAAGGUCCCAUAAGAUCACACUAAGGUCCCAUAAGAUCACACUAAGGUCCCAUAAGAUCACACUAAGGUCCCAUAAGAUGCCACUA